ACACUGGCUUUAUAAAACUCAUCAAUUCUGUUUUUAAAUGUGCAAAGAACACCACCACUGCCUUCCUUGACUGAAGAGCUGCUAAGAAGGGGAGAUAAUUCUCAAUGACAGAAGGGAAACUGAAUUCUGUUUUUCAUUUUCUUGGAAUUCUUCCCUAUUCUGUCGGAUUACAAAUCUACAAUGGAGAUGUUGAGUUUUUAUGCAGAUCUUGGCCUCUGAGUCUGUGUAUCCGUAAACCACGAGGGCAUUUUCCUCUUUGUGAUAAGACUGUACAGUUCCAAUUGUGAUGUCCAUAUCUUUGUUCAAUAUUCUUCUUUGUGUGUGAUUCCAUUCCUACAAAUGAUACACACCUGGUCUUUUGUUUUCUGAAUUUUUAUAGAUGAGUAGAAUUUAAACAUUAAUUUCUUAUUUAUUGUGAGACUGAGCUGAUAACAGUUGUGUCUGUUGGUCAUGUACACAUACCGGUACUACUUUUGUAUAAGUGUGACAUUACAAUUUUGUACUUGUUUGCAUUCACAUAUUACAUGUAUGAUCUGUUUUUCCUUAUCCUUUUAAAUAAAGAAGUAGUAUUAGGAGUGUAUAGAUUUAGUGUACCGUUAGUUUGAUUAUAAGAAUAAGUUCUUCUAGAUUUUUUUUUACAUGUAUAACUCUUGUUAAUUUUUAUGCAGCUUUACAUGUUUAUUAUCUAUGGAAUGAUGAUAUCUUUUUAAAUAUAGAAUAUCCCUUUCUGAUUUGAUUGCAAAUUUUCAAGUUAAAUGUUCUAUAGUUAUUUGUAUUAUGGGAAGAAUUACCGGUAGUUUUAAAUGUUCUGGUUCUUGCAGUUGUCAAGGACUGACAUGAGCAAGAAUGGAUUGUUAUAAAAAUUGUUAUAAAAUUUUCAAAUAUAAAAUAUCUAUAUUUAUUGAAAAUAUAAAACAUAUACUGUAGUUUAUAGUAGGCGCAGUUUAUAUCUUUGUUUUCCUAUAGAAUAGAGGUGUAGUGUAUAUUAUUGGAACUGAAUUCUUCAACUACAUUACUCCUUGGUCAACUGUUUUUUUAUAUUUGAGGAAUAAAUAAUAUGAGACUCCUUUG
rnacentral:misc_RNA from 1 species